UCCGGAGGGUGCAAUCAUUAUCCGGAAUCACUGGGUUUAAAGGGUGCGUAGGCGGCGCAAUAAGUCAGAGGUGAAAGCCUGCAGCUCAACUGUAGAAUUGCCUUUGAUACUGCUGCGCUUGAAUCAGGUUGAGGUUGGCGGAAUGUGGCAUGUAGCGGUGAAAUGCAUAGAUAUGCCAUAGAACACCAAUUGCGAAGGCAGCUGACUGGGCCUGAAUUGACGCUGAGGCACGAAAGCGUGGGGAGAAAACAGG
rnacentral:rRNA from 1 species